UACAGAAGGGGCAAGCGUUGUUCGGAAUCAUUGGGCGUAAAGGGCGCGUAGGUGGUUCUGUAUGUCUACCGUGAAAGCGUACGGCUCAACCGUAUUUUGUCGGUGGAAACUGCAGGACUUGAGGCUGGGAGGGGCUGGUGGAAUUCCCUGUGUAGCGGUGAAAUGCGUAGAGAUGGGGGAGAACACUCGUGGCGAAGGCGGCCAGCUAGACCAGUUCUGACACUGAGGCGCGACAGCGUGGGGAGCAAACAGG
rnacentral:rRNA from 1 species